rnacentral:tmRNA from 1 species
GGGGCUGUUUUUGGAUUUGACAGCGUUGUUCUUUGAAGGUAAGCAUGCCGUGCGUCGGGAAUAGUUAGCACGUAAAACUCCGUUCUCAAUACUUUUACAUGGCGAAAACGCCUAUGCAAUGGCUGCCUAAUCGAUAGAUUACGCUCCAUAGUCUCCCUGGUUCGUUAUACUUCACCUUCCAGCUAAGACUUUGUCGAUGAAGUAUUCUAUAAAGAAAGAGCUGUGCGUCUUUGUAGGAAUUUGCAUAGCUGGGUAGCAGGAAUAGGUUAGUUAAUCACCUUCCGGCUACUGAGAUCUCAAGCAUUGGCUAAGCAUGUAGAAAGCUUUCCGAGCCGGUGCCUGGACCCGGGUUCGACCCCCGGCAGCUCCACUU